GGAAUCUUUGAGCUCUGGUGAACCAUAAUCUAUGAUUUGGUGAUUAUCAGCAAUGAGAAUGGGCUUCUCAUCUCCAUCGUGAUAGCUGGAUGCAGCAAUCUUCUCUUCCUUCUUCGCAUAAUUGGCUUCAGGAUUCGAUUUAACAGGUUUCAUUGUACCAUUCACAUUUUCUGUGGCUUCAGGAUUCGAUUUAACAGGUUUCAUUGUACCAUUCACAUUUUCUGUGCCAUGACCAUCUGCUUCUUUAAACUCAGCCUUGAACACCUUUUUAUUAACAGAGGAUAUUUCUCUUCCGGCUUGGGCUGUUUCUUGAUCAGUGGAAUCCCCAUUAAAGAUCAUCUGACUUGUCUGAGCUCCUUUUCUUCUGCUCCUCGAACGUUUCACCUUAGGAACAGAGCAACUUUCUUGUUUCAUGCUCUUCUGGGACUUCAAGGAUCGCCUCCUCAAUGAGAUAAAUCGCUUCAGUGGAGGUAGAGCACCAUGAGGACCAUGGCGAUGCCCAUGAAGAGAACAAUAAGAAUAUCUACAAACUUUCAUUGCUGAAAUUCCUUCAGAUUCACUUCCUCCUGGUUGAAGCUCCGCGCCAUGAGGAAAUUUAGCAUCUUUGAGAGUUGAAGAACAUGUUGCUCUGUAAAUGCUUGGACCUGAUAUCACAGAAACUUCUGAGCUUUUCUUCAUAGACGACCUCUUGGAUUUCAAACUAGCUGUUUUUGUUAAAAUCCUCUGAGGUCUCAGAGUAGCAGUUCUUUUAAAAGCUCUCACAGAAGCAUCUGAACUUUUUUCAUUCUGAUCAUUGCUACUAUAACAGGAUUCACAAGGCUGAUCACAUUGAGCAUGCUCCUCUGCUGUAAACAGUCUUGAUCUUCCAGAACUUGCAGGCUUGAUUGAUCUUGUCUUCUUCACUUUCUUCUUCAGGUCAGUUCCUCCAGAUGAUUUCCUCAUCAAAGGCCUUCUGAAUUUCAUGCUAGACAUUUUCGCUAGACUUUGAAUUGGCUUGAAACUCGAACCCACUGAUUUCUGCCCAGAAAAUGCAAGCAAUGUUUGGUUUCAAACAACUUGAAUUCUAAUUUCUAAAAAGUAUAGCUAAAACCAAAAUAAAUAAAUAAAUAAAAUAAAGGGAACAAGAAAGAAUAAGAAUAAGAAUUUCGAUGACUUGCCUGAAAGCUCUCCUUCCUUGCAUAGGAACUUGAUUGUUCAGAGCUUGCACCAGAAAACAAGCCAGGACAUUCACUGGAGGGUGAUUUCAUUGGUCUGACACAUGAUCUUAAGCUUGGCAAUCUAGACAGCUUGAAUGAUCUCAAUUUCAUUUUGUUCUUUGUCUCUGUUCCUCCUCCUCCUCUGUUUUCUCUCUCAUUAUCCUCAGAAUAUUUGUGACUUAUAGACAGCAUCUCAGGUUCAGAACAAUUAUCAGAAUCUGCUUCUCUUUCAAUCUUGCUUGAAUCCAUUCUUAACUCUUCUAAUAGAAGAGAUUUUGCCUUUUGUGAAUUGCAGAAUCAAUUUGAGAUGGGCAAUUCUUGUUUUCUGGGAAAGUUAAAAACUUGGAAAGUUUCAAAAGAUGACACAAACACAAGAGAUUCCAAAGUUUGUGUUUUGUCUACUUCAUAUUAAAAUCUGAGCUUUUAAUUUGCAUUGGGCAUUAGUUGAGAUAAGGAGACGCUAGAAGCCUUGACUUGUUUGUUCAAGGAGGUGAGAACUGACUUGUUCUUGUUGAAUUGACUUCAAAGUUUGGUAAAAAAUUUUAUUCAUUCACUUGUAUGAAUGGCCACUGAUAAUUAAAAUAAAGAGAAAAGUUUUUUAGUAAAAUAAGAGUUGUGUGAUAAAUUCAUAGGCUGGAAAUUGUUUUGUGUGAAGAGGUUUUUAAUUAGAUCUGGUGGGUCGCACAUAACAUGUUUGCAUGAUAAGAAAGAUUGGCUAUUUUAUCUACUUAAUCAUUACAAUUAAGUAGAAAAUGGUAACCACAAGUUACUUGGUGAUGUAAGUAACCAUUCUACGUUGGGUUUCCUUGUAUUAAAAAAACUAAGCUAAUUUGAAUGAGUAAAUCUCACUGAAUUUUCUAAUUAUUCAACUAACUACAAUCUAAUCUCUUUGGUUUGAAAAGUAAUGAUGGUUUUCAUGAAUCUCGUUUAAUUUUAAUAGGGUUUUCGGAGGAAUUUUAGUGGAGUUUCACAUUUUAGCGAUCUUCAAAAUUUGUGAAGAAAAAUUAUGAAAAUGGCCUCAAAACUUUUUUCAAUUUGGAAAAUGAUUACGGUAAAACUUUUCUUAUUUGAAAUUUUAAAGGUCAGAUUUCCAACCAAAUUAGCCCUGAAAUUUUGUGUUACACUUAACUUUUCUUCUGACACAAUUGAUACAUGCUCAAAAUCAUUCAUUGCUCUUGCAUCUUUCUAUCACUCCCAUUAAUCAUCAUUUUAUCAAUCGUUGAAAAGAAAUCAACAAGUGAGGAUUUAGAUAGUUUAUAUAUUUGAUUCAAAAUUUUAAACUUUAUUAAAA
rnacentral:lncRNA from 1 species